rnacentral:rRNA from 1 species
UUCCGUUGAAUGACGUGCUUGCACUGAUUUCAACAAUGAAGCGAGUGGCGAACUGGUGAGUAACACGUGGGGAAUCUGCCCAGAAGCAGGGGAUAACACUUGGAAACAGGUGCUAAUACCGUAUAACAACAAAAUCCGCAUGGAUUUUGUUUGAAAGGUGGCUUCGGCUAUCACUUCUGGAUGAUCCCGCGGCGUAUUAGUUAGUUGGUGAGGUAAAGGCCCACCAAGACGAUGAUACGUAGCCGACCUGAGAGGGUAAUCGGCCACAUUGGGACUGAGACACGGCCCAAACUCCUACGGGAGGCAGCAGUAGGGAAUCUUCCACAAUGGACGAAAGUCUGAUGGAGCAAUGCCGCGUGAGUGAAGAAGGGUUUCGGCUCGUAAAACUCUGUUGUUAAAGAAGAACACCUUUGAGAGUAACUGUUCAAGGGUUGACGGUAUUUAACCAGAAAGCCACGGCUAACUACGUGCCAGCAGCCGCGGUAAUACGUAGGUGGCAAGCGUUGUCCGGAUUUAUUGGGCGUAAAGCGAGCGCAGGCGGUUUUUUAAGUCUGAUGUGAAAGCCUUCGGCUUAACCGGAGAAGUGCAUCGGAAACUGGGAGACUUGAGUGCAGAAGAGGACAGUGGAACUCCAUGUGUAGCGGUGGAAUGCGUAGAUAUAUGGAAGAACACCAGUGGCGAAGGCGGCUGUCUAGUCUGUAACUGACGCUGAGGCUCGAAAGCAUGGGUAGCGAACAGGAUUAGAUACCCUGGUAGUCCAUGCCGUAAACGAUGAGUGCUAAGUGUUGGAGGGUUUCCGCCCUUCAGUGCUGCAGCUAACGCAUUAAGCACUCCGCCUGGGGAGUACGACCGCAAGGUUGAAACUCAAAGGAAUUGACGGGGGCCCGCACAAGCGGUGGAGCAUGUGGUUUAAUUCGAAGCUACGCGAAGAACCUUACCAGGUCUUGACAUCUUCUGCCAAUCUUAGAGAUAAGACGUUCCCUUCGGGGACAGAAUGACAGGUGGUGCAUGGUUGUCGUCAGCUCGUGUCGUGAGAUGUUGGGUUAAGUCCCGCAACGAGCGCAACCCUUAUUAUCAGUUGCCAGCAUUCAGUUGGGCA